rnacentral:rRNA from 1 species
CGACUACAUUAGAUACCCGUGUAGUCCUAGCCGUAAACGAUACUCGCUAGGUGUCGGCCACGGUGCGACCGUUGUCGGUGCCGUAGGGAAGCCGUGAAGCGAGCCACCUGGGAAGUACGGCCGCAAGGCUGAAACUUAAAGGAAUUGGCGGGGGAGCACAACAACGGGUGGAGCUUGCGGUUUAAUUGGAUUCAACGCCGGAAAUCUUACCGGGACCGACAGCAACAUGAAGGCCAAGCUGAAGACUUUGCCGGAUUAGCUG